AUUGAACGCUGGCGGAAUGCUUUACACAUGCAAGUCGAACGGCAGCACGGACUUCGGUCUGGUGGCGAGUGGCGAACGGGUGAGUAAUGUAUCGGAACGUGCCCAGUCGUGGGGGAUAACGUAGUGAAAAUUACGCUAAUACCGCAUACGAUCUAUGGAUGAAAGCGGGGGAUCGCAAGACCUCGCGCGAUUGGAGCGGCCAAUAUCAGAUUAGGUAGUUGGUGGGGUAAAGGCCCACCAAGCCAACGAUCUGUAGCUGGUCUGAGAGGACGACAAGCCACACUGGAACGGAGACACGGUCCAGACUCCUACGGGAGGCAGCAGUGGGGAAUUUUGGACAAUGGGCGAAAGCCUGAUCCAGCCAUUCCGCGUGCAGGAUGAAGGCCCUCGGGUUGUAAACUGCUUUUGUACAGAACGAAAAGGUUUCUACUAAUACUAGGAGCUCAUGACGGUACUGUAAGAAUAAGCACCGGCUAACUACGUGCCAGCCGCCGCCGUAA
rnacentral:rRNA from 1 species